rnacentral:rRNA from 1 species
GAUGAACGCUGGCGGCGUGCCUAAUACAUGCAAGUCGAGCGAACGGACGAGAAGCUUGCUUCUCUGAUGUUAGCGGCGGGCGGGUGAGUAACACGUGGAUAACCUACCUAUAAGACUGGGAUAACUUCGGGAAACCGGAGCUAAUACCGGAUAAUAUUUUGAACCGCAUGGUUCAAAAGUGAAAGACGGUCUUGCUGUCACUUAUAGAUGGGUCCGCGCUGCAUUAGCUAGUUGGUAAGGUAACGGCUUACCAAGGCAACGAUGCAUAGCCGACCUGAGAGGGUGAUCGGCCACACUGGAACUGAGACACGGUCCAGACUCCUACGGGAGGCAGCAGUAGGGAAUCUUCCGCAAUGGGCGAAAGCCUGACGGAGCAACGCCGCGUGAGUGAUGAAGGUCUUCGGAUCGUAAAACUCUGUUAUUAGGGAAGAACAUAUGUGUAAGUAACUGUGCACAUCUUGACGGUACCUAAUCAGAAAGCCACGGCUAACUACGUG